rnacentral:rRNA from 1 species
AGAGUUUGAUCCUGGCUCAGGUUGAACGCUGGCGGCAGGCCUAACACAUGCAAGUCGAACGGUAACAGGAAGAAGCUUGCUUCUUUGCUGACGAGUGGCGGACGGGUGAGUAAUGUCUGGGAAACUGCCUGAUGGAGGGGGAUAACUACUGGAAACGGUAGCUAAUACCGCAUAACGUCGCAAGACCAAAAAGGGGGACCUUCGGGCCUCUUGCCAUCGGAUGUGCCCAGAUGGGAUUAGCUAGUAGGUGGGGUAACGGCUCACCUAGGCGACGAUCCCUAGCUGGUCUGAGAGGAUGACCAGCCACACUGGAACUGAGACACGGUCCAGACUCCUACGGGAGGCAGCAGUGGGGAAUAUUGCACAAUGGGCGCAAGCCUGAUGCAGCCAUGCCGCGUGUAUGAAGAAGGCCUUCGGGUUGUAAAGUACUUUCAGCGGGGAGGAAGGGAGUAAAGUUAAUACCUUUGCUCAUUGACGUUACCCGCAGAAGAAGCACCGGCUAACUCCGUGCCAGCAGCCGCGGUAAUACGGAGGGUGCAAGCGUUAAUCGGAAUUACUGGGCGUAAAGCGCACGCAGGCGGUUUGUUAAGUCAGAUGUGAAAUCCCCGGGCUCAACCUGGGAACUGCAUCUGAUACUGGCAAGCUUGAGUCUCGUAGAGGGGGGUAGAAUUCCAGGUGUAGCGGUGAAAUGCGUAGA